AUUGAACGCUGGCGGCAGGCCUAACACAUGCAAGUCGAGCGGAGCAGCGGACGCGUGAGUAAUGCUUAUGAAUCUGCCUGGGAGUGGGGGAUAACGUCCGGAAACGGAAGCUAAUACCACAUACUAUCAGAUGAGCCUAUGUCGGAGUAGCGAGUUGGUGGGGUAAAGGCCUACCAAGGCGACGAUCCGUAACUGGGCUGAGAGGAUGAUCAGUCACACUGGAACUGAGACACGGUCCAGACUCCUACGGGAGGCAGCAGUGGGGAAUAUUGGACAAUGGGCGAAAGCCUGAUCCAGCCAUGCCGCGUGUGUGAAGAAGGUCUUCGGAUUGUAAAGCACUUUAAGUUAGGAGGCGUUACUCACAGAAUAAGCACCGGCUAACUUCGUGCCAGCAGCCGCGGUAAUAC
rnacentral:rRNA from 1 species